CAGGCCUAACACAUGCAAGUCGAACGGUAACAGGAAAGAGCUUGCUUUUUUGCUGACGAGUGGCGCACGGGUGCGUAACGCGUGGGGAUCUACCAAGGGGUGCGGAAUAACUCAGAGAAAUUUGUGCUAAUACCGCAUAAUGUCGCAAGACCAAAGAUUUAUCGCCCUUUGAUGAACCCGCGUAAGAUUAGCUUGUUGGUGAGGUAAAGGCUCACCAAGGCGACGAUCUUUAGCUGGUCUGAGAGGAUGAUCA
rnacentral:rRNA from 1 species